rnacentral:sRNA from 1 species
UUCUAGCCCUGAUGGAAGCGGCAUCCUUUUGUGUCCGCUGCGGCGGACGCAAAAGAUACAGCGAAUAGCAGGAAUAGCU